rnacentral:lncRNA from 1 species
CCCCGUGGCCACCAGGCUCCCCAAGGUGUCCCUGGACCCAAUGACCACCCCAAAGUGUCCCGUGGGCUCCCCAAGGUGUCCCCAUGACUUGUCACCUCCCCGAGGUGUCCCCAUGACUUGUCACCUCCCCAAAGUGUCCCUGGACCCAGUGACCUCCCCAGAGUGUCCCAUGGGCUCCCCGAGGUGUCCCCAUGACUUGUCACCUCCCCAAGGUGUCCCCAUGACUUGUCACCUCCCCGAGAUGUCCCCAUGACUUGUCACCACCCCGAGGUGUCCCCGUGGCCACCAGGCUCCAUCCUGAGCCCUUCCCACCAUCCCCCGUUCCCGUCAGGACACCUUCCAGGACUACCAGGAGAUGUUCAUCCAGUUUGGCUACGUGGUGCUCUUCUCCUCGGCCUUCCCGCUGGCCGCCAUGUGCGCCCUGGUCAACAACGUCAUCGAGAUCCGCAGCGACGCCUUCAAGCUCUGCACGGGGCUGCAGAGACCCUUCGGCCAGCGCGUGGAGAGCAUCGGCCAGUGGCAGGUGGGCUCCUGGUGCUGGUCCUGCUGCUGACCCUGGAAAUGGUUCUGGUGCUGGUCCUGGUGCUGGUUCUGGUUCUGGUGCUGGUCCUGGUUCUGACCCUGGUGCUGGUCCUGGUGCUGGUUCUGGUGCUGGUUCUGGUCCUGGUGCUGGUUCUGGUCCUGGUUCUGGUCCUGGUGCUGGUCCUGGUCCUGGUGCUGGUGCUGGUAAUGGUUCUGGUUCUGGUGCUGGUCCUGGUUCUGGUCCUGGUCCUGGUUCUGGUUCUGGUCCUGGUGCUGGUUCUGGUCCUGGUGCUGGUCCUGGUUCUGGUCCUGGUUCUGACCCUGGUGCUGGUUCUGGUUCUGGUCCUGGUGCUGGUUCUGGUGCUGGUUCUGGUUCUGGUGCUGGUCCUGGUUCUGACCCUGGUGCUGGUCCUGGUGCUGGUCCUGGUUCUGGUGCUGGUUCUGGUCCUGGUGCUGGUUCUGGUGCUGGUUCUGGUUCUGGUGCUGGUCCUGGUCCUGGUGCUGGUGCUGGUAAUGGUUCUGGUUCUGGUGCUGGUCCUGGUUCUGGUCCUGGUCCUGGUUCUGGUGCUGGUUCUGGUGCUGGUUCUGGUUCUGGUCCUGGUGCUGGUUCUGGUUCUGGUCAUGGUAAUGGUUCUGACCCUGGUCCUGGUCCUGGUCCUGAUCCUGGUCCUGGUCCUGAUCCUGGUUGUGGUUCUGGUCCUGUUAAUGGUUCUGGUCCUGGUUCUGGUCCUGAUCCUGAUCCUUUCCCUGCCCCUUUUCCUGUCCCUCAUCCUGUCCCUGUCCCUGUCCCCAUCCCUUGUCCAUCACUCUGGGGACACCCUGGGGACACUCUGGGGACACUUUGGGGACACNNNNNNNNNNNNNNNNNNNNNNNNNNNNNNNNNNNNNNNNNNNNNNNNNNNNNNNNNNNNNNNNNNNNNNN